rnacentral:rRNA from 1 species
CACGUAGGGUGCGAGCGUUGUCCGGAAUUAUUGGGCGUAAAGAGCUCGUAGGCGGUGUGUCGCGUCGGCCGUGAAAACCUGCAGCUUAACUGUGGGCUUGCGGUCGAUACGGGCAUCACUGGAGUUCGGCAGGGGAGACUGGAAUUCCUGGUGUAGCGGUGAAAUGCGCAGAUAUCAGGAGGAACACCGGUGGCGAAGGCGGCAUCCUGGACCAAUUCUGACACUGAGGAGCGAAAGCCAGGGGAGCAAACGGG